CACCACUUCCAUCCAUUUUUCUUUUAAAGUGUGGAGACAACAAAAAUAAAAUACAGGAACGCUUCUCCUAUAUCUUCUCCAAAUUACUACCUGAGUUUUUCAAUCGUACAACUUAGACCAGAGAUUUGAUUACCCAAAUUUAAACGACACACAAAAAGAAUCAGAAAAGAAUAAAGACGAUGGAAACAAAUCGCAUCGGAAAGAAAAAAGAGGAGAAUAAGAAAGACGAUGGAAAGAUUAAACGACGUAAAAAAAAUCAGAAAAGAAGAAACACGAAAUUGCAGUAGAAAAAAAGAAAGAUGAUGAAUUGCAGCAAGGAGGAAGACGAUGAAAGAAUCGCAGCGAGAAAAAUAAGAAAAGCAAGAGGACAAACCAAUAAUAUUUAAAAGAUAGUUAAUUUCAUGGAUUUUAUUAUACGGGCCGUAAAUAGUUUGGUGUUUUUGUUACCGUCGUGAAAGUUUUCUUUUUCUUA